rnacentral:lncRNA from 1 species
GCUUCAUCCUUCUCUUUUACAUACACCUUAUCGCUAAUCCCGGCUGACCCGGCCGCUUGAACUUUUGACACAUACAACAAUCACUUAUCCAUUAUGGCGUCAGAUAUUAUUUGUUUUAUGACGUCAAAAUUUUACGGGAACCUGUGUGAUAUCCAGUAAUGGCGGACAAAUAGCGAUAGGGUGUAUUGUAAGUCUUUAACAAGAAUAUGUU